GGCGGUGUGGUCUAGUGGUAUGAUUCCUGCUUUGGGUGCAGGAGGUCCCGAGUUCGAUCCUCGGCUCCGCCC
rnacentral:tRNA from 2 species